rnacentral:lncRNA from 1 species
UGGUAACAGUGGAGAUUAGAGUCCAGAGCACACAGCUGGGGAGACAGACCCAAGAAGGAACCUGACAUGGUGACCCAGACAGAGCCAGGAGAGAAGCCAUGAGCUUGGCUCACACAGAUUCUGACUGUGAGAAGAGGAAAGAGAUGGAAGGCAACUUUAAGAACAGGAAACAAACUCACACAUCCAGAGGAAGUGCAUAGGUCGGGGCAACGAAGAGCCUGAAAUCACAUAGAUGGCAAGACAAGAGUCGAUCCUAACAAAACCAAGGAAUAUGGGCAAAACUCCAUGAGGCCAGGCAAUGAAUGGGGAGCUGGAGACUGAAUAAUCCCCAAAAAUCACAGCAGUGAGAGACAUGUAAACUCCAACCAGCAGGAGCGGAACGUCCUCACGGAUCACCUGGACCUUCAGUAGAGACCACAGAAGUGUCAUAACUUGGUGGUGGGAUUAUCCCUAGAGUCAUUGCUUCUCUAGACUUGCCCUAAAAAUCUUCAAAACAAGCCUUGGGAGGAUCAAACCGAUCAACAAGU